rnacentral:rRNA from 1 species
GAUGAACGCUGGCGGCGUGCUUAACACAUGCAAGUCGAACGAAGCACUUUAACCUGAUUCUUCGGAUGAAGGUUUUUGUGACUGAGUGGCGGACGGGUGAGUAACGCGUGGGUAACCUGCCUCAUACAGGGGGAUAACAGUUAGAAAUGACUGCUAAUACCGCAUAAGACCACAGAGCCGCAUGGCUCGGUGGGAAAAACUCCGGUGGUAUGAGAUGGACCCGCGUCUGAUUAGGUAGUUGGUGGGGUAACGGCCUACCAAGCCAACGAUCAGUAGCCGACCUGAGAGGGUGACCGGCCACAUUGGGACUGAGACACGGCCCAAACUACUACGGGAGGCAGCAGUGGGGAAUAUUGCACAAUGGGGGAAACCCUGAUGCAGCGACGCCGCGUGAGCGAAGAAGUAUUUCGGUAUGUAAAGCUCUAUCAGAAGGGAAGAAAAUGACGGUACCUGACGAAGAAGCACCGGCUAAAUACGUG